rnacentral:misc_RNA from 1 species
UCCCUGUUACCAGGGCAGUCUGUUUAGAAAAAUCCAACUAAACAUAAGGGUUGCGCUCGUUACGGGACUUAACCCGACAUCUCACGACACGAGCUGACGACGGCCAUGCAUCACCUGUCACUGGAUUCCCGAAGGCACAGUCUCCUUUCGGAGACCUUCCCAGGAUGUCAAACCUUGGUAAGGUUAUCGUUUACCAUCGAAUUAAACCACACGCUCCACCGCUUGUGCGGGUCCCCGUCAAUUCCUUUGAGUUUUAAACUUGCGUUCGUACUACUCAGGCGGGAUGCUUAACGCGUUAGCUUCGCUUCGGAGGGGGUCGAUUCCCCCCAAUAGCUAGCAUCCAUAGUUUACGGCGUGGACUAC